CCAAGACUAACUCCCUUUCUCCAAUUCCUCCCAAAGACCUUGUAUCCAGAUCCAAUGGUGGAAUAGAUCGAAGAAGAGGGGACGCAAACAACUCGGCCGACUCUCUCUUCACACCUCAGAUCCCAGGCCUGAACAAUGAAAAACUGAGCUAGCUAGUGGCCUCCUCAAAGCAUCUCCGCCCUUGCCAUGCUGUCACCAUCAAUGGAUCUAAUGACUAAAGGAGAUGUACAUGUUGCGCCUUUUCGGCCACCCACUGUUGUCAUCCUAUCCCAGGGGCGAUGCCCUGAUCUAGAUGCCACCACCUCCAGUGCUAGUGGACGCUAGAACUCUUCAGAGACGGUUCUCCAGGGUCCCCGGCAUGACCAUCGAGUUUCUUUCAGCAUCGUUGCUGCUUAGCGAGGAAGUCUAGAGGGGGAGAUGCUUGAUUGGAAAGGGUUGGAGUAUUAGAGUGAAAUGUGGCCCAGUGCCCACAACACUUCAUUUCGUUAUAUCAUUAUGGUAUUAUUGCUUUGGUCACUGUAUAAGGGAUAUUGUGAUUUAUUGUAUCACAUUCUUAAUUUUUAUAUAUCCAGUCAUUAUUAUGGUUUA